rnacentral:rRNA from 1 species
CGUGGAUAACCUGCCGUGCACAGGGGGAUAACACUUAGAAAUAGGUGCUAAUACCGCAUAAGCGCACAGUUUCGCAUGAGACAGUGUGAAAAGCCUGGAAGCGAUUCCUGGCGGUGCAUGAUGGAUCCGCGUCCGAUUAGCUAGUUGGCGGGGUAAAGGCCCACCAAGGCAGCGAUCGGUAGCCGGCCUGAGAGGGUGGACGGCCACAUUGGGACUGAGACACGGCCCAAACUCCUACGGAAGGCAGCAG